GAUGAACGCUGGCGGCGUGCUUAACACAUGCAAGUCGAACGAAGAUGCCGGAGUGCUUGCACUUUGGCAGACUGAGUGGCGGACGGGUGAGUAACGCGUGGGUAACCUGCCUUAUACAGGGGGAUAACAGUUGGAAACGACUGCUAAUACCGCAUAAGCGCACGGUAUCGCAUGAUACAGUGUGAAAAACUCCGGUGGUAUAAGAUGGACCCGCGUCUGAUUAGCUUGUUGGUGAGGUAACGGCCCACCAAGGCGACGAUCAGUAGCCGGCCUGAGAGGGUGAACGGCCACAUUGGGACUGAGACACGGCCCAAACUCCUACGGGAGGCAGCAGUGGGAAUAUUGCACAAUGGGGGAAACCCUGAUGCAGCGACGCCGCGUGAGUGAUGAAGUAUUCGGUAUGUAAAACUCUAUCAGCAGGGAAGAUAAUGACGGUACCUGACUAAGAAGCACCGGGCUAAAUACGUG
rnacentral:rRNA from 1 species